rnacentral:rRNA from 1 species
GCGGUAUGCUGACGCGGAGGGACAUUACCGAGUUUACAACUCCCAAACCCAAUGUGAACGUUACCAAACUGUUGCCUCGGCGGGAUCUCUGCCCCGGGUGCGUCGCAGCCCCGGACCAAGGCGCCCGCCGGAGGACCAACCAAAACUCUUAUUGUAUACCCCCUCGCGGGUUUUUUUUAUAAUCUGAGCCUUCUCGGCGCCUCUCGUAGGCGUUUCGAAAAUGAAUCAAAACUUUCAACAACGGAUCUCUUGGUUCUGGCAUCGAUGAAGAACGCAGCGAAAUGCGAUAAGUAAUGUGAAUUGCAGAAUUCAGUGAAUCAUCGAAUCUUUGAACGCACAUUGCGCCCGCCAGUAUUCUGGCGGGCAUGCCUGUCCGAGCGUCAUUUCAACCCUCGAACCCCUCCGGGGGGUCGGCGUUGGGGAUCGGCCCUCCCUUAGCGGGUGGCCGUCUCCGAAAUACAGUGGCGGUCUCGCCGCAGCCUCUCCUGCGCAGUAGUUUGCACACUCGCAUCGGGAGCGCGGCGCGUCCACAGCCGUUAAACACCCAACUUCUGAAAUGUUGACCUCGGAUCAGGUAGGAAUACCCGCUGAACUUAAGCAUAUCAAAAGGCCGAGAGAGAA